rnacentral:rRNA from 1 species
UACGUAGGGGGCAAGCGUUGUCCGGAUUUAUUGGGCGUAAAGAGCGUGUAGGCGGCCAUGUAGGUCCGUUGUGAAAACUCGAGGCUCAACCUCGAGACGCCGAUGGAAACCAUGUGGCUAGAGUCCGGAAGAGGAGAGUGGAAUUCCUGGUGUAGCGGUGAAAUGCGCAGAUAUCAGGAAGAACACCCGUGGCUAAGGCGGCUCUCUGGGACGGUACUGACGCUGAGACGCGAAAGCGUGGGGAGCGAACAGG